UGGGAGGUCGUCCAGUGGUAGGACACAUGCCUUUGGAGCAUGGAACCCUGGUUCGAAUCCAGGCCCCCCAGCCA
rnacentral:tRNA from 1 species